rnacentral:tRNA from 1 species
GCCCCUGUAGCUUAGGGGUAGAGCAUCAGCCUCAUAUCUUCACACGAGAAGAGAGGGGCGAUCUGACUACGCUGGUUCGAUUCCAGCCAGGGGCA